UCAAAUUUCACGAAUCACGUUCUUUCCAAAAAGAACCCUAAUUUCGUUUUCCCCCAAUUUCUUCUUCCCUCAAUUUCUUGAUGAAACCAUUUAGCUAGCAAUUCAACUCAACGUUUUGGUGCUACAAUCGCAAUUCAACUCAACGUUUCGGGGCUACAAUCGCAAUUCAUCUCAGCAUCGCAAAUUCAAAUCAGCAUCGCAACUCAACGUUUCGUAUUCUCGUAAUCGUUGGCUUCUUACUCGAUAUCAUUGGGUUGUUUAUAGCUAUCGCUUGACAUUGCUUUGAUUUCCAAGUUCUACAAAGCUAAAAAGGUUCUUUAACUUGAAGAUGAGCAAUGAUGAGAAUGGCAUGCAAAGAAGAGGUCGAAAGGUGAAGAAAUUGAGUGGCUCAAAUCAGUUGAAAUUCUCUUGUAGCUUAAGGACUUUGAUUUUAUGCAACUCGAAUUCAACUUGUUUCAACUUGGGAUAUGUAGCUAGUAGUCUAGUACUGUAUGUAAUCUUGAAUUUGAAUCUUGUUUCACUUAGAAAUUCUCUUUUGUAAUUCAAGAA